AACGAACGCUGGCGGCAUGCCUAACACAUGCAAGUCGAACGAAACCUUCUGGUCUAUUGGCGCAAGCGUUCGUAACGCGUGGGAACCUGCCCUUAGGUUCGGAAUAUCUCCCCGAAAGGGGUGCUAAUACCGGAUAAUAUCUUCUGUCCAAAGAUUUAUCGACUUUGGAGGUGCCCGCUUGGUAUUAGCUAGUUUGUAGGGUAAAAGCCUACCAAGGCGAGGAUCCAUAGCUGGUCUGAGAGGAUGGUCAGCCACACUGGAACUAAGACACGGCCCAGAAUCCUACGGGAGGAAGGAGAGGGGAAUAUUGGAAAGUGGGGGAAAGCAUGAUGGAGCAAUGCCGGGAAAGUGAUGAAGGCCUGAGGGAUGUAAAGCUCUGUUAACCGGGAUGAUAAUGACAGUAACGGGAGAAGAAGGUCCGGCUAACUACGUG
rnacentral:rRNA from 1 species